rnacentral:rRNA from 1 species
UACGUAGGGGGCAAGCGUUGUCCGGAUUUAUUGGGCGUAAAGAGCGUGUAGGCGGCCAGACAGGUCCGUUGUGAAAACUCGAGGCUCAACCUCGAGACGCCGAUGGAAACCGUCUGGCUAGAGUCCGGAAGAGGAGAGUGGAAUUCCUGGUGUAGCGGUGAAAUGCGCAGAUAUCAGGAAGAACACCUAUGGCGAAGGCAGCUCUCUGGGACGGUACUGACGCUGAGACGCGAAAGCGUGGGGAGCGAACAGG